CCUACGGGUGGCAGCAGUGAGGAAUAUUGCGCAAUGGGGGAAACCCUGACGCAGCAACGCCGCGUGAUCGAUGAAGCCCUUCGGGGUGUAAAGAUCUGUCAGUGGGGACGAAACCUGACGGUACCCACAGAGGAAGCACCGGCUAACUACGUGCCAGCAGCCGCGGUAAUACGUAGGGGGCAAGCGUUAUCCGGAUUUACUGGGUGUAAAGGGAGCGUAGACGGCAAGGCAAGCCAGAAGUGAAAGGGCAGGGCUCAACCCUGUACAUGCUUUUGGAACGGUGGUGCUAGAGUGCAGGAGGGGUAAGUGGAAUUCCUAGUGUAGCGGUGAAAUGCGGAGAGAUUAGGAGGAACACCAGGGGCGAAGGCGGCUUACUGGACUGUAACUGACGUUGAGGCUCGAAAGCGUGGGGAGCAAACAGGAUUAGAUACCCCAGUAGUC
rnacentral:rRNA from 1 species